rnacentral:pre_miRNA from 1 species
AGUGGGAUAGCUGGGUCAAAAGGUAGUUCCAUUCCAAGUUUUCGAAGGAAUCUCCAUACUGUUUUCCAUAUUGGCUGCACAUAUUUGCAGUCCCACCAGCAAU